rnacentral:lncRNA from 1 species
AAUCCCUGGCCUACCUCAGUGGGUUAAGGAUCUGGUACUGCCAUGAGCUGUGGUGUAGGUUGCAGAUGCGCCUUGGGUCCUGUGUUGCUGUGGCUGUGGUGUAGGCCAGCAGCUGCAGCUCUGAUUCAACCCCUAGCCUGGGAACUUCCAUAUGCUGCAGGUGCACCCCCCAAAAAGGGGGGCUGUCCAGAGAUCCCAGUGCCCAUGUCAGAGAUUUAGGCAGUACAGGGUUCAACACAGCUGGGGGGAUGGAUACCUACAUACCUGCAAGGAUGGAUACCUGAUGUCUAGCAGGAGGAACCCAGGGGAAGUUUCUGUAGUUGGCUUCUCUUCCUCCCUACCUCCCUAGGCUGGGAGACGGGGAAGAUGGAAGGUGAAAGGUGAAAAAGAUGAGAGGUCAGGUGAUGGACCCUCAUACCUACGGCAGGUGUUUGACUCAUGGGCCAGAACUGGAUUAGGGAGAAGAAAGGAAUUGUAUAUCAGAUAUGAUAUUGAUGUUUUCAUGACUCUACUGGACUUUUAAAUACCUCGGAGUGUCUUAGAGUGAAUGAAAGUGAUGGAAGAUGCCUGGGAUGUUGUCCAGGGAUGGAGCAGGAAGAUUUGAUGUAACUUGCCAGUAAAGAGAGAAAAAUGGAGUUGUUUCCUAGCUGUACCUUUUUGUGAUCAGUUUAUAUAUUAAAAAAAAAAAAUCCGCAAAGAGCUUGGCAUAGUGCCUUGGAAAUAGCAAAUUCUUAGUAAAUGCUAAAAGAUAGUUCUUAUGACCAUCCUUUUUCAUUAUUCCCUGCAUAACAAAUGAUUCAUGUCCAAGUCACCACUCUGCAGCCUCAGAAGGCAGGGUGACAGAGUGAAGCCAUGCCUGACAACCCAUAUAAAAGUCCAAGAAAAUAUCAGUAACCAAAUCACACUUUAAAGUUCACCCUCAGACCCACUUGCCUGUAAAAUGCCAAAGAAAGAAAUGGUAAAGGUAAAAUCUCUUAAAUUUGUGUUGAACAAGUGUGCCGUCCUUCCCAGGGGAGAGGGAGAGGGUUGAUCCACCUGGAGUGACAUCGGGCACUGUCCCUGGAAAUGUCCCUUGAUGAAGGCUUCGGGCACUUUGGCAGAUUGGGACCGGGGUACAUUCUGGGUGUGGUUUUCAUAGCAUCUGUGGGUCAUGGAAAUUGCAGCUCAUGAAUCCAUUCUAACUCCUUUUGCUUUGGUGGGGAAUUAGCAUCACUUUAUCUUUUUGCAAAUGACCACCCCUUAGGAGUAGAGGAGAGCUAUGUACAAGCACUCAGCUAUGGAGAAUUGGAAGCCGUGGGGAAGAUGGAAAAUACAGUGAGGCCAGGAAAAGCCUAGAGGGCUGAGAUUCACACGUAAUCCAGAUAUGGUCUCUCCAUCACUUUCUUUAAUCCCUACCAAUGGUCUUCUCCAAGACCCUAAAUCUUUUUUUUUUUUUUUUUUUGGCUGAGCUGCAGUUGUGACCUGUGCCACAACUGUGGCAACAUCAGAUGCUUUAACUCACUGCCAGGCUGGGGAUCAAAACCACAUCCUGGCGCUGUGGAGACGCUGCUGAUCCUGUUGUACCACAUCGGGAACUCCAAGACCCCAAAUUCUUUUGUUUUAUUUUGUUUUUGCUUUUGAGGGCCAUACCUGUGGCAUGUGGAAAUUCAGAGGCUGGGGGUCGAAUAGGAGUUACGGCUGCCGGCCUGCACCACAGCCACAGGAAUGCAGGAUCUGAGCCGUGUCUGUGACCUACACCACAGCUCAUGGCAGCGCCGGAUCCUUAACCCACUGAACGAGACCAGGGAUUGAACCCGAAUCCUCAUGGGUACUGGUUGUGUUUGGAAACCACUGAGCCACAACAGGAACUCCUCGAGACCGUAUAUUCUUAAUAGGCUUGUUUGAGCCUUAUUUUUAAUGUAAUAUUUGGGGAUGAUAACAAGCACUGAAAUGAGAGGAGAUGUAGGUAAAGUAAUGGGACAGGAUCAUCUAAUCCAUAAACCGGACUGAAUGCUGUAGCGUUAGCCAUAAAUAUAGUUCGGUAAUUAUGCGUCGCAUCUGGGUGAAUUAUACCCACAGCCUGUGAAGUGUGACGGGGAGAUGGACUCUGCACCUGUUUCGCUUCCUCCCUGGAUCUGGCUCUGUUAAUAACACAGCUUAUACAACUCAAGAAAAUUACCAGUGACACAGAAGCACAGAAGGCGGAUUAGGGUAGGUGUCAAUUUUAGGCGAUUGAAAUUGUACUUAAAGCACACCUUUGUUAGACCAGAGCACUUCCUGGAAUUGCACGCUGUUGAGAUUUGCUGUGAUUGAUUCUGGGAAUCUUGGGGUCACUUUACUAUUGUUGGGGGAAGAAAAACUCACACAAGAAAUCAAUACAGUCAAGCAGAACGUCUACAGAACAGCUUCCCACAGCCAUCUCUUCUUAGGAAAGAGCUUAUCUUUAAAUCACAGGAAGACUUUGGUCUUUUCAGAGCUGACCCUCCCUUCAUGGAAGCUGACCUGAGACAAUGAUUUGACAAAAAAUUUCUUCAAAUACAUGAUGGAAGUUGACUCACUCAUGGGAAGACCAACACUUAAGGCAAGAGAAUCCCUCUAAAUCCAGCCAUUCUCUUAUUCUGCUGCAGUCCAUGCACCUGCCUCAGUCUGUGUACAGGUCCCACCCUCACUGAGAGCUUGAGACACCUCCGCCUCCCUUCGGACUUUACAUGGCCCUGCUCAUUUCACCAAUUCAUUGUGUACCUUCUUAUUCAUUGAAUUCCUUCAUCACACACAUACACAUCCCUGUUCGUUUGUGCCACUUGUGUAACGUCCCCAAUCAUGUCCUUCCUUUGUUAAAACAUCUCCCUGCUCGUCUCCUUUGCUUGUCGUGCACAUCCGCCCAGUCCCCCGAGGUGGCCGUGCCUGGAGAAGGCUGGGUCCACGGGAAGAGGGAGAACAGCAGGAAGUGGCCGGUGCCCUCCCCCAUUUGAACACAUGUGAACAAAUGCAGAAAAACCAUCCAAUCCAGGCUGGUAUCCCAUCCCGAGAACCCAGCCUGAACCGCAAAAGAGUGACGGCGCCCUGGAUUGGCCUGAUGUAUGAGUCUGGCCUCCAUGUGAGGAAAGCCAGUAGCUCAGUGUAUUUUUAGUUGCUUCUUGAGGACAAGAUCUGUGCCUUACUCAUCUUCUUGCAUGUCUUGGGACCUCUCGCAAUGCAUUGAACCUAGUCAGCCUGUUACAGGUGACAUUGGAAUAAAUAUUUGAAUAAUUAUUUUGGACACUGAGUUUUUUUGUUUGUUUGUUUGUUUUUGGUCGGUUGUUUUUGGCUGCUCCUUGACAUAUGGAUUCCUAGACCAGGGAUCAGAUUCAGGUUUGAGCCACAUUUUCCACCUGUGCCACAGCUGCAGCCACGCUGGCCCCUUUAACCCACUGUGCUGGGCCGGGGCUCGAACUCGCAUCCCAGCCCUGCCGAGAUGCCACCGAUCCUGUUGUGCCACCAUGGGAACUCCACUGGACACUGAGCUUUUUAACCUAUCAGUUUUAUCAUUUACUUUUUUCUCCCCCGGCCCCCACUCUCACUGGUAGUUCCUUGAAUUAGAUGCUAAUGAGUUUUAGGCGCUGAUUAGGUUUUCAAGUACUCACCCCACUUUAGUUUCCUAUCAUAACUGUGGAUGUGAUGGGGUGGCUGUUUCAGCUGAUCUUGGAGCACUAGGGCCUCUACGAACCAGCCUUGAAGAGAGCCAGUCCAGCCGACAUGGAGUGAAGUUUGGAGAGUUUGGAAACCUGGCUCUUGGAGGCCUGAGGUCAGUGUUUUUCUUUCAUCAUUCACUCAGAGAAAGACAGAAAGGUGAGGUCAGAAUUUCCAUUAAAUAUGAAGCAUACUAAUUAGGGAAAUGGGCAAAGAACAUUGUCUCAUUACCUGGCAAAUCGAUUGUCGCUUACCGGCAACUUGGUGCCACUAGGUCUGAAAGUCAUGCCAGUGGGUAGUUUAAUACAUUCUUUGUGGAAUUGUGACACGUGCCACCGGGAAGAAUGUGUGUCACUUUAAGAUGAAAGUAAAUUCCUGUAGGAUAUACUGAGGAAAAAAAUUAUAGAGUGAUCUCUUGGCAUCUAGAAGUGAAAAAAAGUGACCAAGGGUUAUUUGCAGGAGGUUUGUCGUGUAUAAUUGCAGGCCUAAGAUGGAAACUGAAGCAGAUUAAAUCUUAAAACCUUGCACUAAAGACUCCAGUUCUGGAGUUAAUGUGCUAUAAGAUCUCUACUGCACUAGAUUGGAGACAAAGGAGAAUAGCUUUUUUUUUUUUUUUUUUUCCUCCUCCAGUCUUUUGUCUUUGUAGGGCUGCACCGGAGGCCUAUGGAGGUUCCCGGGCUAGGGGUCUAAUUGGAGCUACAGCUGCUGGCCUACACCACAGCCAUAGCAACGCUAGAUCUGAGUUGCACCUGUUACCUACACCACAGCUCACAGCAUCGUCAGAUCCUUAACCCACUGAGCAAGGCCAGGGAUCGAACCCAUGUCCUCAUGGAUACUAUUCGGUUUGUUAACCACCAAGCCAUGAUGGGAACCCCGAGAAUAGCUUUCUGAUAAAAGAAACUCAUCCACAGAGAUGACUCCUCCAAGGGCCUCUUUUCUUUGCUAGAAAAUCAGAGAGGAAAAUGACAUUGCAGGGUCACAGAAUUAAUCUUUCUCUGGACCACCAUGGCAAAAAUGACAUUUAAAAAAACCUAGAUUUAUUCCUGGAAAUAAAUCUGUUGAAAGGGAUUGUGGUUUCUAUUUGCGUGUCAGCCAACCAGAGUCUGACACAUGAAUAAAGCAAUCUUCCUGAUUAAAAAAGCUAUGGGGCCUGGGUUUGUUUUCAGGUCAGAGGCCAUUGGUCACUCAGAGGUGGCCGAGCUCUGUUUCAUAGGAAGAGGGUAAAUCAAUCAGGGUG